GACGAACGCUGGCGGCGCGCCUAACACAUGCAAGUCGAACGAGAGAUGAGGAGCUUGCUCUUCAAAUCGAGUGGCGAACGGGUGAGUAACGCGUGAGGAACCUGCCUCAAAGAGGGGGACAACAGUUGGAAACGACUGCUAAUACCGCAUAAGCCCACGGCUCGGCAUCGAGCAGAGGGAAAAGGAGCAAUCCGCUUUGAGAUGGCCUCGCGUCCGAUUAGCUAGUUGGUGAGGUAACGGCCCACCAAGGCGACGAUCGGUAGCCGGACUGAGAGGUUGAACGGCCACAUUGGGACUGAGACACGGCCCAGACUCCUACGGGAGGCAGCAGUGGGGAAUAUUGCACAAUGGGGGAAACCCUGAUGCAGCGACGCCGCGUGGAGGAAGAAGGGUCUUCGGAUUGUAAACUCCUGUUGUUGAGGAAGAUAAUGACGGUACUCAACAAGGAAGUGACGGCUAACUACGUG
rnacentral:rRNA from 1 species